CGUUGUUGGGUAGGGGAGCGUUCUGUAAGCCGUUGAAGGUGGCCUGUGAGGGUUGCUGGAGGUAUCAGAAGUGCGAAUGCUGACAUAAGUAACGAUAAAGCGGGUGAAAAGCCCGCUCGCCGGAAGACCAAGGGUUCCUGUCCAACGUUAAUCGGGGCAGGGUGAGUCGACCCCUAAGGCGAGGCUGAAAAGCGUAGUCGAUGGGAAACAGGUUAAUAUUCCUGUACUUGGUGUUACUGCGAAGGGGGGACGGAGAAGGCUAGGCUAGCCGGGCGACGGUUGUCCCGGUUUAAGCGUGUAGGGGGUGUGACCUGGUAAAUCCGGUUGCAUAUCAACCCUGAGGCGUGAUGACGAUGCACUACGGUGCAGAAGUAGUUGAUGCCCUGCUUCCAGGAAAAGCCUCUAAGCUCCAGGUAACAUUGAAUCGUACCCCAAACCGACACAGGUGGUCAGGUAGAGAAUACCAAGGCGCUUGAGAGAACUCGGGUGAAGGAACUAGGCAAAAUGGUGCCGUAACUUCGGGAGAAGGCACGCUGGCAUGUAGGUGAAGUCCCUUGCGGAUGGAGCUGAAGCCAGUCGAAGAUACCAGCUGGCUGCAACUGUUUAAUAAAAACACAGCACUGUGCAAACACGAAAGUGGACGUAUACGGUGUGACGCCUGCCCGGUGCUGGAAGGUUAAUUGAUGGGGUCAGCCGCAAGGCGAAGCUCUUGAUCGAAGCCCCAGUAAACGGCGGCCGUAACUAUAACGGUCCUAAGGUAGCGAAAUUCCUUGUCGGGUAAGUUCCGACCUGCACGAAUGGCGUAAUGAUGGCCAGGCUGUCUCCACCCGAGACUCAGUGAAAUUGAACUCGCUGUGAAGAUGCAGUGUACCCGCGGCAAGACGGAAAGACCCCGUGAACCUUUACUAUAGCUUGACACUGAACAUUGAGCCUUGAUGUGUAGGAUAGGUGGGAGGCUUUGAAGCGUGGACGCCAGUCUGCGUGGAGCCAUCCUUGAAAUACCACCCUUUAAUGUUUGAUGUUCUAACUCGGCCCCAUAAUCUGGGGUGAGGACAGUGUCUGGUGGGUAGUUUGACUGGGGCGGUCUCCUCCCAAAGAGUAACGGAGGAGCACGAAGGUUAGCUAAUCACGGUCGGACAUCGUGAGGUUAGUGCAAAGGCAUAAGCUAGCUUGACUGCGAGAGUGACGGCUCGAGCAGGUACGAAAGUAGGUCUUAGUGAUCCGGUGGUUCUGAAUGGAAGGGCCAUCGCUCAACGGAUAAAAGGUACUCCGGGGAUAACAGGCUGAUACCGCCCAAGAGUUCAUAUCGACGGCGGUGUUUGGCACCUCGAUGUCGGCUCAUCACAUCCUGGGGCUGAAGUAGGUCCCAAGGGUAUGGCUGUUCGCCAUUUAAAGUGGUACGCGAGCUGGGUUUAGAACGUCGUGAGACAGUUCGGUCCCUAUCUGCCGUGGGCGUUGGAAGAUUGAGAGGGGUUGCUCCUAGUACGAGAGGACCGGAGUGAACGCACCACUGGUGUUCGGGUUGUCAUGCCAAUGGCAUUGCCCGGUAGCUAAGUGCGGAAAAGAUAAGCGCUGAAAGCAUCUAAGCGCGAAACUUGCCUCAAGAUGAGUCUUCCCUGGGCCUUUAAGG
rnacentral:rRNA from 1 species